rnacentral:rRNA from 1 species
UCGGUUUGAUCCUGGCUCAGAAUGAACGCUGGCGGCAGGCCUAACACAUGCAAGUCGAACGGAUUAUAUUGUAGCUUGCUAUGGUAUAACUUAGUGGCAGACGGGUGAGUAAUGUAUAGGAAUCUACCUAGUAGUACGGAAUAAUUGUUGGAAACGACAACUAAUACCGUAUACGCCCUACGGGGGAAAAAUUUAUUGCUAUUAGAUGAGCCUAUAUUAGAUUAGCUAGUUGGUGGGGUAAUAGCCUACCAAGGUAAUGAUCUAUAGCUGAUCUGAGAGGAUGAUCAGCCACACUGGAACUGAGAUACGGUCCAGACUCCUACGGGAGGCAGCAGUGGGGAAUAUUGGACAAUGGGCGAAACGCCUGAUCCAGCCAUGCCGCAUGAGUGAAGAAGGCCUUUGGGUUGUAAAGCUCUUUUAGUGAGGAAGAUAAUGACGGUACUCACAGAAGAAGUCCUGGCUAACUCCGUGCCAGCAGCCGCGGUAAUACGGAGAGGGCUAGCGUUAUUCGGAAUUAUUGGGCGUAAAGGGCGCGUAGGCUGGUUAAUAAGUUAAAAGUGAAAUCCCGAGGCUUAACCUUGGAAUUGCUUUUAAAACUAUUAAUCUAGAGAUUGAAAGAGGAUAGAGGAUUCUGAUGUAGAGGUAAAUUCGUAAAUAUUAGGAGGAACACAGUGCGAAGGCGUCUAUCUGGUUCAAAUCUGACGCUGAGCGCGAAGCUUGGGGAGCAAACAGGAUAGAUACCCUGUAGUCCACGCUGUAACGAUGAUGUAAAUAUCGGAGUACUUUCUGUAUUACAGCUACGCGUAAACAUCGGCUGGACUACGUCGCAGAUCAACUCAAGGAUGACGGGAACCGGCAAGCGUGGAGCAUGUGUUAUUCGAGUCACGAAACUUACAGUCUUUGACUGAAUCUAACUAUUUCGA